rnacentral:rRNA from 1 species
CCUACGGGGCGCUGCAGUGAGGAAUAUUGGUCAAUGGACGAGAGUCUGAACCAGCCAAGUAGCGUGAAGGAUGACUGCCCUAUGGGUUGUAAACUUCUUUUAUAAAGGAAUAAAACGAGGCACGUGUGCCUUUUUGCAUGUACUUUAUGAAUAAGGAUCGGCUAACUCCGUGCCAGCAGCCGCGGUAAUACGGAGGAUCCGAGCGUUAUCCGGAUUUAUUGGGUUUAAAGGGAGCGUAGAUGGGUUGUUAAGUCAGUUGUGAAAGUUUGCGGCUCAACCGUAAAAUUGCAAUUGAUACUGGCAGUCGUGAGUACAGUUGAGGUAGGCGGAAUUCGUGGUGUAGCGGUGAAAUGCUUAGAUAUCACGAAGAACCCCGAUUGCGAAGGCAGCUUACUAAACUGUGACUGACAUUGAUGCUCGAAAGUGUGGGUAUCAAACAGGAUUAGAUACCCCGGUAGUC